CGGCAUGUAGCGCAGCUUGGUAGCGCACCGUCAUGGGGUGUCGGAGGUUCGAUUCCUCUCAUGCCAA
rnacentral:tRNA from 1 species